UCCCUGGAGACUCAGACAGUAAAGAAUCUGCCUGAAAUGCAGGAGACUCGGGUUCGAUCCCUGGCUUGGGAA
rnacentral:tRNA from 1 species